rnacentral:rRNA from 1 species
AGACCCGAAACCCGGUGAUCUAGCCAUGGGCAGGUUGAAGGUUGGGUAACACUAACUGGAGGACCGAACCGACUAAUGUUGAAAAAUUAGCGGAUGACCUGUGGCUGGGGGUGAAAGGCCAAUCAAACCGGGAGAUAGCUGGUUCUCCCCGAAAGCUAUUUAGGUAGCGCCUCGUGAAUUCAUCUCCGGGGGUAGAGCACUGUUUCGGCUAGGGGGUCAUCCCGACUUACCAACCCGAUGCAAACUGCGAAUACCGGAGAAUGUUAUCACGGGAGACACACGGCGGGUGCUAACGUCCGUCGUGAAGAGGGAAACAACCCAGACCGCCAGCUAAGGUCCCAAAGUCAUGGUUAAGUGGGAAACGAUGUGGGAAGGCCCAGACAGCCAGGAUGUUGGCUUAGAAGCAGCCAUCAUUUAAAGAAAGCGUAAUAGCUCACUGGUCGAGUCGGCCUGCGCGGAAGAUGUAACGGGGCUAAACCAUGCACCGAAGCUGCGGCAGCGACACUCAGGUGUUGUUGGGUAGGGGAGCGUUCUGUAAGCCUGCGAAGGUGGCCUGUGAGGGUUGCUGGAGGUAUCAGAAGUGCGAAUGCUGACAUAAGUAACGAUAAAGCGGGUGAAAAGCCCGCUCGCCGGAAGACCAAGGGUUCCUGUCCAACGUUAAUCGGGGCAGGGUGAGUCGACCCCUAAGGCGAGGCCGAAAGGCGUAGUCGAUGGGAAACGGGUUAAUAUUCCCGUACUUGGUGUUACUGCGAAGGGGGGACGGAGAAGGCUAUGUUGGCCGGGCGACGGUUGUCCCGGUUUAAGCGUGUAGGUGUGUGUUCCAGGUAAAUCCGGUU